rnacentral:rRNA from 1 species
UACGUAGGGGGCAAGCGUUGUCCGGAUUUAUUGGGCGUAAAGAGCGUGUAGGCGGUUUGGUAGGUCCGCUGUGAAAACUCGAGCUCAACCUCGAGACGCCGGUGGAAACCAUCAGACUAGAGUCCGGAAGAGGAGAGUGGAAUUCCUGGUGUAGCGGUGAAAUGCGCAUAUAUCAGGAAGAACACCCGUGGCUAAGGCGGCUCUCUAGUACGGUACUGACGCUGGAGGUGCGAAAGCGUGGGGAGCAAACAGG